GCGAAUGUUUUGGGGGUUUAUUCCACCACUGCGGAUGCGUAGCCUCGGUCGAGCGGGAAUGACGUUGAGGAGGACUUCAGUGGAGCAGCAGAGACAUGACCGGAGUAGAUCAGAUCCCACGAACGCCGAGUCAGGAAGAUGAGGAGAAGGCAUGGCACAGCUUACGACGCUUCUUGCGGUGGGCAGAGCAGCAAGAGAGCCGGCGUAUGCACUCCAGGGGCGGCUGGAUAAACGUGGGAUGAAGCCGGCGAUGAACGGCAGGAGUAGCACUGGUAAAGUGGUCCAGUGAGUCCUUAAUGUGGAGCAGUGACUGACGAUCAUAGAUCCGAAGAGCAAUGGAGUAAUUCCAGUGCAGCAGGAGGAGAAGCAUGAGCAGACAAAACUUCAGACGGACAGAUGCACUGACUCAACGACUGAGUACGGCAAAUACCUAUGAAUUCGCACAAGCUGUGCAGAAGUGGCUGCGCUACGCCCCAGACCGAGCA